rnacentral:misc_RNA from 1 species
AACUGAUACUACCUGCGGGAACCUGCGGAGGGAUCAAUGCGAGGAUUGUUGGGGGAUAUUGCUUGCUUGCUUGCUUGCAAUAUCAUCCUCUACGUUUACGCUUGUUUGUUUGACAGAGUAUGGAUGUGUAGAGAAUUUAUUGACAACUUUUAGCAACGGAUCUCU